rnacentral:rRNA from 1 species
AUUGAACGCUGGCGGAAUGCUUUACACAUGCAAGUCGAGCGGCAGCGCGGGGCAACCUGGCGGCGAGCGGCGAACGGGUGAGUAAUGCAUCGGAAUGUACCCAGCCGUGGGGGAUAACACAGCGAAAGUUGUGCUAAUACCGCAUACGUCCUGAGGGAGAAAGCGGGGGAUCGCAAGACCUCGCGCGAUUGGAGCAGCCGAUGUCAGAUUAGCUAGUUGGUGAGGUAAAGGCUCACCAAGGCGACGAUCUGUAGCGGGUCUGAGAGGACGACCCGCCACACUGGAACUGAGACACGGUCCAGACUCCUACGGGAGGCAGCAGUGGGGAAUUUUGGACAAUGGGCGAAAGCCUGAUCCAGCCAUUCCGCGUGAGUGAGGAAGGCCUUCGGGUUGUAAAGCUCUUUCGGCAGGAACGAAACGGUCGUCUCUAACAUAGAUGGCUAAUGACGGUACCUGAAGAAGAAGCACCGGCUAACUACGUGCCAGCAGCCGCAGUAA